UACGUAGGUGGCAAGCGUUGUCCGGAUUUACUGGGCGUAAAGGGCGUGCAGGCGGUCUGUUAAGUUCAGGGUGAAAGCUCCCGGCUCAACUGGGAGAGGUCCUUGGAUACUGGCAGACUUGAGGGAGGUAGGGGAGAGUGGAAUUCCCGGUGUAGUGGUGAUAUGCGUAGAUAUCGGGAGGAACACCAGUGGCGAAGGCGGCUCUCUGGGCCUUUCCUGACGCUGAGACGCGAAAGCGUGGGGAGCGAACCGG
rnacentral:rRNA from 1 species